GAUGAAGAACGCAGCGAAAUGCGAUAAGUAGUGUGAAUUGCAGAAUUCAGUGAAUCAUCGAAUCUUUGAACGCACAUUGCGCCCCUUGGUAUUCCAUGGGGCAUGCCUGUUCGAGCGUCAUUUCAACCAUCAAGCCCCAGCGCUUGUGUUGGGGGCCUGCGGCUGCCGCAGCCCCCUAAAAGCAGUGGCGGGCUCGCUAUCACACCGAGUGCAGUAGUUCAUCUUCUCUCCGGUCUUGUGAGGCGGGUUCCGGCCGUGAAACACCCCACUACAUUCAAGGUUGACCUCGGAUCAGGUAGGAAUACCCGCUGAACUUAAGCAUAUCAAUAAGCGGAGGA
rnacentral:misc_RNA from 1 species